AGGCUGGGUAUCUGUAAAGCUCUUUGUGGUUUUAGGCUGGGUAUCUGUAAAGCUCUUUGGGGUUUUAGGCUGGGUAUCUGUAAAGCUCUUUGGGGUUUUAGGCUGGGUAUCUGUAAAGCUCUUUGGGGUUUUAGGCUGGGUAUCUGUAAAGCUCUUUGGGGUUUUAGGCUGGGUAUCUGUAAAGCUCUUUGUGGUUUUAGGCUGGGUAUCUGUAAAGCUCUUUGGGGUUUUAGGCUGGGUAUCUGUAAAGCUCUUUGUGGUUUUAGGCUGGGUAUCUGUAAAGCUCUUUGGGGUUUUAGGCUGGGUAUCUGUAAAGCUCUUUGUGGUUUUAGGCUGGGUAUCUGUAAAGCUCUUUGGGGUUUUAGGCUGGGUAUCUGUAAAGCUCUUUGGGGUUUUAGGCUGGGUAUCUGUAAAGCUCUUUGUGGUUUUAGGCUGGGUAUCUGUAAAGCUCUUUGGGGUUUUAGGCUGGGUAUCUGUAAAGCUCUUUGGGGUUUUAGGCUGGGUAUCUGUAAAGCUCUUUGGGGUUUUAGGCUGGGUAUCUGUAAAGCUCUUUGGGGUUUUAGGCUGGGUAUCUGUAAAGCUCUUUGGG